UACGUAGGGUGCGAGCGUUAAUCGGAAUUACUGGGCGUAAAGCGUGCGCAGGCGGUUCGCUAAGCCAGGCGUGAAAUCCCCGGGCUUAACCUGGGAAUGGCGUUUGGGACUGGCGGGCUAGAGUGCGGCAGAGGGGACUGGAAUUCCUGGUGUAGCAGUGAAAUGCGUAGAUAUCAGGAGGAAUACCGAUGGCGAAGGCAGGUCCCUGGGUUGACACUGACGCUCAUGCACGAAAGCGUGGGGAGCAAACAGG
rnacentral:rRNA from 1 species